GAGAAAUCUCCACUCCGGAAGCAUCUUCCACAGCCCGGUUCUAGCCACCCUGCCCUCUGCUUCUGGAGAGGGCAUCAGCGCCCCGGCCAAGACGGAGUACAAGGCCUGGUCCACUGAGCUUCCUGGGCUCUGGUCGGUGGGAAGGAACACGCCCUGCGCAGCACCUCCCUCGGGCUCUCCACGCAGAGUGAGGGAAAGCCCGGCAACCACACAGAUGUGCAACAGCGGGGCCUGGCCGAGCCCUCUUCACCCAGCCAAACGAUGGGCCCCGCCGCUGUUAGACAGCAAAAGGAAAUUUGUGAUGACAGAAAAACAUGCCCAUGAUGUAUUGGUCUGGAGGGCUUCCCUGGUGGCGCAGUGGUUGAGAGUCCGCCUGCCG